GACGGAGGGUGCUAGCGUUGUUCGGAAUUACUGGGCGUAAAGGGCGCGUAGGCGGCCCUGUCAGUCGGGUGUGAAAGCCCGGGGCUCAACCCCGGAACGGCACCCGAGACGGCAGGGCUGGAGACCGGGAGAGGAGGGUGGAAUAGCCAGUGUAGAGGUGAAAUUCGUAGAUAUUGGCUGGAACACCGGUGGCGAAAGCGGCUCUCUGGCCCGGUUCUGACGCUGAGGCGCGAAAGCGUGGGGAGCAAACAGGG
rnacentral:rRNA from 1 species